rnacentral:rRNA from 1 species
UACGAAGGGGGGCUAGCGUUGUUCGGAAUUACUGGGCGUAAAGCGCGUGUAGGCGGGUCUUUUAAGUCAGGGGUGAAAUGCCAAGGCUCAACCUUGGAACUGCCUUUGAUACUGGAGACCUUGAGUCCGGGAGAGGUGAGUGGAAUUGCGAGUGUAGAGGUGAAAUUCGUAGAUAUUCGCAAGAACACCAGUGGCGAAGGCGGCUAUCUGGACCACAACUGACGCUGAGGCGCGAAAGCGUGGGGAGCAAACAGG